GGAAGAUCAAUUCCGCCCCCGAAUCUCUCUAUUUACACUAGAACUCCAGUACUUCAUUAUUUAUUGCUGUUCUUAAAGAUCAAAACAACUGUCAGCAACCAUGAAGGUUUUAAUUGCAGCUAUUUUGAUUGCGUUUGUAGUCUAUGUGAGUGGAGAUCAAUGCAUUGCAACCACUGAUUGCUAUAGCUAUGGGAUGAUUACAUGUGGAGGCGCACACAAAGUCGUAUGCGUCCAACAUCAAUUUUCUGGAGGCCAUUGCAAAUGUACCGACGGAGGUGCAGGAGGUUAUGCGUGCACAAUGAAGGCUGAUUGUCCCGACUGUUCACAUUUUCAGGAAAAGCACUGCAUUGAUGGACUAUGCCAUUGUACGGUUUAGGAUUGGUGGUAUCAGACAUUCGAAAUAAAUAUCAAUAAUA